UCGUUGGUCGUCUACUCGAACUCGCCUUGUCUCACAAAGAACCACACAAAGUUUUCGCAAGCGAUUUGCUACGCAGAGAUCGCAGAGAUUGCGAGGUAAGAAGAAGACUGCCGCGCCACCACCGCUCUCCACUCGCUCUUGUAUUACUCCGCCGACGGUCGCGCAGUACCGCUGCGGCCGGUCAUUUCGAAAAGACCGCUAAUCCGCAACAGCUACUCUCCCGCUCUCUGUUUAUGAUCGCCUUCCUCAAUUCCUUUGGAGGAGACUUUUUGAGCGUCCCUCAACCGGGUCUUCAUAAACCCGCUCCUUACUCACCUCCGCCUCUGGUUUAUCUUCCCGAAUCACCUGUAUUAAACCUUAAUUCCUCACCCCUCACCCCUAUCUCACCCUUACCUCCAGUUCUUCCCAACACUCUGCUUCCCCUCAUUGACUUGGCUUCGUCUCGUUCCUUCUCGAUCGUACAAGGACCGUGUACUAGGGAGUACAUUCUCUUACACAAAAAAAGGACCAACGAGAAAGGAUCUACCCUUCGGAAGGUUAAUGACCUUCCUGGUCAUUAACCUUCCGAAAGAUAAACACUGGUCAGCCCGACUCACGCGAUAACGUGUGACAACGUUCUGUGCGUCCCUUCUUUCUCGAGCUCUAUCUCCGGAGCUCCGGACGUAACAUUAUACAUGUAUUAAUAUAUACAUGUAUAUAUACGGGGUGCUCCCGGAUUAAAUGGCCAAACUGAAAAUAUAGAUUCAGAAUAUCAAAACAAAACAAAAUUUUCCUCUGGAAGUAUGCUCACAAAUGCUUUGUUCAUGAGAUAUUAACUUCUGAAGUUCAGAUACUUGUUGAUGGGUUUUGAUCGAAAUGCUGCAAUAUGACGGCGUAUUCACGGCGAGCAGCGUUAGCAUUUGUUUAUGGUGCGAACAAAAACCUGUAAAUGAUCUUUCAUCUUCGAAACAAAAAAAGGAGACAACAAAGCUCCGUCCAUUUGUAUCAAAUAAUCGUUAGCAGUGAUGCCAGAAAUGAGAUGCAUGCGGUAGCAUUGGGUGGGGAAUGGAGUGAGGACGGUUUCGCGCUGCACACUAUCUAUGUGUAAUCGAUAACUUCAGUCUCCUUCAGAUACUCGUGAGGUGUUGAUCGCUUGGUGAUGCUCCUUGACAUGUCUCUAGUUAUUUUCUGCUAGUGAGUCAUUAUUGAUUUGGAUUUGAUUUGUGGUUUUAAUUAGUUAAUAUAGUUAUAGAUAUUAUUUGUAAUUUUAGAAAGUAACUGUACACUUUGCAUCUGAAGAGGACCUGAAUACAGGUCGAAACGUCGUGCAUUUUUAAUAAAUUGCCAGUGUAGUCAACAUAUAAGAUUGAAACAGGACAUGAUUUUAAGUGGGGGGAAGUUGAGGUGUUGGACAGAGAAGGUUCAUAUAAAAAAAAAUUGACUUCGAAAAUGAUUAACAUAAAACGACAAAUUAAUCCACUCAAUUUACAAAAUGACACAGAGUCGCUACCAGAUGAAUAUCUUCCUAUUUUGAGUUCUGUUUUCCAUAAUAAGCUUGGUGUACCUUGAAUCUGUUUGUUCAUUUGUUUUUGUCUCUCUGGGAUGUCAGACGCUCGUGAUAUCAGUCUUACGAUAGAUAGAAGAAGAAUAUGUUCAAGAUAUGAUGAUGGAAUCAAAAUCUUGUAGUUUGUCAGAGAUGAUGUUUGACAUUGACUAGAAUCACGUUAAAGGAAUUGUAAGUUUCAAAUCAUUCAAGGUUAUUUUAUAAUCAGGUUAUUUUAUAAUAUUGACAUAAUUAUGAUCUGAAGAUGUUGUUAUAAUUUGUGAUGGGUGCGUCUAGAAAAAGUAUGUGUUUAUAUGACUAGUGUGAGGUUGCAAAACUGAUGAAUUAGGUAGGAUAUUUAUGUUUCAUUUUUUUAUAUUGGUUUCUAUAUUUUUCAAGACGAAAUUGAUUACGAUAUAUUAUGUAUUUGACAGGUUUUUAUAUAUGUAAAGCACUGAAGAGGGCCCAACGUGGAUCGAAACGUCUGUUGUAUUUUACUUUGGAUGAAUAAAUGAUUGGCACCAAUACCCAGCUGCGCUUGGAACCGUUGUAUUGCAUAUUAUUGAAUUACCGAGCAUUUUAAUUGUAACGAUUAAUUUUAAAGUCUAGCAAAUUCAUGCAGUCAGUUUCUAGGUCAUCUAAGAUAAUGUCGGCCAGAACUGGAGACAAAGGCGAACCCAUAGGAUAUAUAUUUGUGGUUUUAAUUAUUUAAUACAUGGACGACAAUGAGCUGUAGGACUUCUAAUAUACAGGGUGUCUCAGUGACUCCGUACAAUCCGUUAAUGGCAUAUAGCCCAAGUUGAGCUGAACCAAAAAGUCCUGUAUAAUAAACAAGUUGGUCUAACAUCGAUAACUUAUGAGACCGAUUUUGGGCCCUUCAUGUGCGUUGUUAAAUGAGAUAAAUCACCUUAUGCUUGAGACGAUAACCUCAUACAAGAUAACGAGAUGCUGACUAUUAACUACGAAUGAAAAUUUAUACACUGAAGAUGGUCUAACGUUUAGACCGAAACGUCUGUAAUUACAAUUUCAAUGUGAAUUCUAUGUUGUUCGGGUAAAUUCUACGUGAAUAUAGAUUAAUAAGCACUUACACCUUGCGUCGCUUUUGUUUUCUUACAACUAUUUGAUUACUUAUUUAAUAUAGUUAUGGAUAUUAUUUGUAAUUUUAGAAAGUAACUGUACACUUUGCACCUGAAGAGGUCCUGAAUAUAGGUCGAAACGUCAUGCAUUUUUAAUAAAUUGCCAGUGUAAUCAA
rnacentral:lncRNA from 1 species